rnacentral:rRNA from 1 species
GAUGAACGCUGGCGGCGUGCCUAAUACAUGCAAGUAGAACGCUGAAGGAGGAGCUUGCUCUUCUGGAUGAGUUGCGAACGGGUGAGUAACGCGUAGGUAACCUGCCUGGUAGCGGGGGAAAACUCUUGGAAACGAUAGCUAAUACCGCAUGACAACAGUUAUUGCAUGAUAACUGUUUAAAAGGGGCAACUGCUCGACUACGAGACGGCCCUGGGUUGUAUUAGCUAGUUGGUGAGGUAACGGCGCACCAAGGCGACGAUACAUAGCAGACCUGAGAGGGCGAGCGGCCUCACUGGGAAUGAGAGACGGCCCAGACUCUCACGAGUGCCAGCGGAAGGGGAUCUACGGCAAUGGGCGGAAGUCUGACCGAGCAACGCCGCGUGAGUGAAGAAGGUUUUCGGAUCGUAUAGCUCGGUUGUAAGAGAAGAACGAGUGAAAGAGUGGAAAGUUCACACUAUGACGGUAUCUUACCAGAAAGCGACGGCUAACUACGUG